AACGAACGCUGGCGGCAUGCCUAACACAUGCAAGUCGAACGACACCUUCGGGUCUAGUGGCGCACGGGUGCGUAACGCGUGGUAACCUGCCCUUAGGUUCGGAAUAACUCCCCGAAAGGGGUGCUAAUACCGGAUAAUGUCUUCAGACCAAAGAUUUAUCGCCUUUGGAUGGGCCCGCGUUGGAUUAGCUAGUUGGUAGGGUAAAAGCCUACCAAGGCGACGAUCCAUAGCUGGUCUGAGAGGAGGAUCGGCAACACUGGGACUGAGACACGUCCCAGACUCCUCCGAGAGGGGGCAGGAGGGACUAUUGGACAAUGGGCGAAAGCCUGAUCCAGCAACGCCGCGGGAGUCAGGAUGGCCGGAGGGUUGUUAAGCUCUGUGGCACGCGGUGUUAGGCACAGUACCGUCGGAACAACGUCCGGCUCAACCCGUG
rnacentral:rRNA from 1 species